rnacentral:rRNA from 1 species
UGGGGAAUUUUGGACAAUGGGCGAAAGCCUGAUCCAGCAAUGCCGCGUGUGUGAAGAAGGCCUUCGGGUUGUAAAGCACUUUUGUCCGGAAAGAAAUCCUUGGCUCUAAUACAGUCGGGGGAUGACGGUACCGGAAGAAUAAGCACCGGCUAACUACGUGCCAGCAGCCGCGGUAAUACGUAGGGUGCAAGCGUUAAUCGGAAUUACUGGGCGUAAAGCGUGCGCAGGCGGUUUGCUAAGACCGAUGUGAAAUCCCCGGGCUCAACCUGGGAACUGCAUUGGUGACCGGCAGGCUAGAGUAUGGCAGAGGGGGGUAGAAUUCCACGUGUAGCAGUGAAAUGCGUAGAGAUGUGGAGGAAUACCGAUGGCGAAGGCAGCCCCCUGGGCCAAUACUGACGCUCAUGCACGAAAGCGUGGGGAGCAAACAGGAUUAGAUACCCUGGUAGUCCACGCCCUAAACGAUGUCAACUAGUUGUUGGGGAUUCAUUUCCUUAGUAACGUAGCUACGCGUGAAGUUGACCGCCUGGGGAGUACGGUCGCAAGAUUAAAACUU